rnacentral:rRNA from 1 species
UAUGUGAUCGUCUCUCGCAUAUCAAUAAGCGGAGGAAAAGAAACUAAUAAGGAUUCCCCUAGUAACGGCGAGUGAAGCGGGAAGAGCUCAAAUUUGAAAUCUUAAAGGGUUUCCCUUUACGAAUUGUAGUUUAAAGAAGUGUUUUCUGUUGAGGUUUUGGUAAAAGUUCUUUGGAAUAGGACAUCAUAGAGGGUGAGAAUCCCGUAUUUGACCUUUACUUUCAACUUUGUGAUACACUUUCAAAGAGUCGGAUUGUUUGGGAAUGCGGUCCAAAAUGGGUGGUAAAUUUCAUCUAAAGCUAAAUAUUGGCGAGAGACCGAUAGCGAACAAGUACCGUGAGGGAAAGAUGAAAAGAACUUUGAAAAGAGAGUUAAACAGUACGUGAAAUUGUCAAAAGGGAAGCGUUUGACACCAGUGUUGUUUUUCUGAAAAUCAAUUAAAGAACUGUUUAUGCUAAGCUGUUUAGACUUUAUCAGCUAACUGUUUAGUUUUGAGCUUUUCUUUAAUGCACUUUUCAGUUAACAAGUCAACAUCAAUUUCUUUUGCUGUAAAAAAGCUUGAGGAAGGUGGCUUGAGAUUCGUCUUAAGUGUUUAUAGCCUCUUGCCUAUGCAGUCGGAGAGAUUGAGGUCUGCAGCGUAGAUCCUUCGGGGCUAAAUGCAUUUGUGCUAAGUUAUAGCAUUUUAUAGACAACUUGUUGACUAUGAUUUGUCUUGUAGCUUACUCGCUUAUGUUAUUUUACCUACGCUUAGGAUGUUGAACGCGCACAGAGUCUC